UACGUAGGGCGCAAGCGUUUAUCCGGAAUUAUUGGGCGUAAAGAGCUCGUAGGCGGUUUGUCGCGUCUGCUGUGAAAGACCGGGGCUCAACUCCGGUUCUGCAGUGGGUACGGGCAGACUAGAGUGCAGUAGGGGAGACUGGAAUUCCUGGUGUAGCGGUGAAAUGCGCAGAUAUCAGGAGGAACACCGAUGGCGAAGGCAGGUCUCUGGGGCUGUAACUGACGCUGAGGAGCGAAAGCAUGGGGGAGCGAACAGG
rnacentral:rRNA from 1 species